rnacentral:rRNA from 1 species
UAGUCGAAAGGGAAACAGCCCAGACCACCAGCUAAGGUCCCAAAAUAUAUGUUAAGUGGAAAAGGAUGUGGGGUUGCACAGACAACUAGGAUGUUAGCUUAGAAGCAGCUAUUCAUUCAAAGAGUGCGUAAUAGCUCACUAGUCGAGUGACCCUGCGCCGAAAAUGUACCGGGGCUAAAACAUAUUACCGAAGCUGUGGAUACCUUUAUAGGUAUGGUAGGAGAGCGUUCUAUGUGCGAAGAAGGUGUACCGUGAGGAGUGCUGGAGCGCAUAGAAGUGAGAAUGCCGGUAUGAGUAGCGAAAGACAGGUGAGAAUCCUGUCCACCGUAAGACUAAGGUUUCCAGGGGAAGGCUCGUCCGCCCUGGGUUAGUCGGGACCUAAGGAGAGACCGAAAGGUGUAUCCGAUGGACAACAGGUUGAUAUUCCUGUACUAGAGUAUAUAGUGAUGGAGGGACGCAGUAGGCUAACUAAACCAGACGAUUGGAAGUGUCUGGCCAAGCAGUGAGGUGUGAUAUGAGUCAAAUGCUUAUAUCUAUAACAUUGAGCUGUGAUGGGGAGCGAAGUUUAGUAGCGAAGUUAGUGAUGUCACACUGCCGAGAAAAGCUUCUAGCGUUAAUUAUACUCUACCCGUACCGCAAACCGACACAGGUAGUCGAGGCGAGUAGCCUCAGGUGAGCGAGAGAACUCUCGUUAAGGAACUCGGCAAAAUGGCCCCGUAACUUCGGGAGAAGGGGCGCUGACUUAUGGUCAGCCGCAGUGAAUAGGCCCAAGCAACUGUUUAUCAAAAACACAGCUCUCUGCUAAAUCGUAAGAUGAUGUAUAGGGGGUGACGCCUGCCCGGUGCUGGAAGGUUAAGAGGAGUGCUUAGCAAUAGCGAAGGUAUGAAUUGAAGCCCCAGUAAACGGCGGCCGUAACUAUAACGGUCCUAAGGUAGCGAAAUUCCUUGUCGGGUAAGUUCCGACCCGCACGAAAGGCGUAAUGAUUUGGGCACUGUCUCAACGAGAGACUCGGUGAAAUUUUAGUACCUGUGAAGAUGCAGGUUACCCGCGACAGGACGGAAAGACCCCAUGGAGCUUUACUGCAGUUUGAUAUUGAGUAUCUGUACCACAUGUACAGGAUAGGUAGGAGCCUAUGACCUCGGGACGCCAGUUUCGAGUGAGGCGUUGUUGGGAUACUACCCUUGUGUUAUGGCUACUCUAACCCAGAUAGGUUAUCCCUAUCGGAGACAGUGUCUGACGGGCAGUUUGACUGGGGCGGUCGCCUCCUAAAAGGUAACGGAGGCGCCCAAAGGUUCCCUCAGAAUGGUUGGAAAUCAUUCGCAGAGUGUAAAGGUAUAAGGGAGCUUGACUGCGAGAGCUACAACUCGAGCAGGGACGAAAGUCGGGCUUAGUGAUCCGGUGGUUCCGCAUGGAAGGGCCAUCGCUCAACGGAUAAAAGCUA